GAUGAACGCUGGCGGCGUGCUUAACACAUGCAAGUCGAGCGAAGCGGCUGAAUUGAUUCUUCGGAUGAUUUUCAGUUGACUGAGCGGCGGACGGGUGAGUAACGCGUGGGUGACCUGCCCCAUACCGGGGGAUAACAGCUGGAAACGGCUGCUAAUACCGCAUAAGCGCACAGAGCUGCAUGGCUCGGUGUGAAAAACUCCGGUGGUAUGGGAUGGGCCCGCGUCUGAUUAGGCAGUUGGCGGGGUAACGGCCCACCAAACCGACGAUCAGUAGCCGGCCUGAGAGGGCGACCGGCCACAUUGGGACUGAGACACGGCCCAAACUCCUACGGGAGGCAGCAGUGGGGAAUAUUGCACAAUGGGGGAAACCCUGAUGCAGCGACGCCGCGUGAGCGAAGAAGUAUUUCGGUAUGUAAAGCUCUAUCAGCAGGGAAGAUAAUGACGGUACCUGACUAAGAAGCCCCGG
rnacentral:rRNA from 1 species